rnacentral:rRNA from 1 species
UACGUAGGUGGCAAGCGUUGUCCGGAUUUACUGGGCGUAAAGAGCGCGCAGGCGGUCGAAUAAGUCGAAUGUGAAAGCUCCCGGCUCAACCGGGCGAGGCCAGUGGAAACUAUCGAGCUGGAGGGCAGUAGAGGCAGGCGGAAUUCCGGGUGGAGUGGUGAAAUGCGUAGAGAUCCGGAGGAACACCAGAGGCGAAGGCGGCCUGCUGGGCUGCACCUGACGCUGAGCCGCGAAAGCCAGGGGAGCGAACGGG